UGGCGCUGAGGCGGCCACCGCGACUCCGGCUCUGCGCUCGGCUGCCUGACUUCUUCCUGCUGCUGCUUUUCAGGGGCUGCCUGAUAGGGGCUGUAAAUCUCAAAUCCAGCAAUCGAACCCCAGUGGUACAGGAAUUUGAAAGUGUGGAACUGUCUUGCAUCAUUACGGAUUCGCAGACAAGUGACCCCAGGAUCGAGUGGAAGAAAAUUCAAGAUGAACAAACCACAUAUGUGUUUUUUGACAACAAAAUUCAGGGAGACUUGGCAGGUCGUGCAGAAAUACUGGGGAAGACAUCCCUGAAGAUCUGGAAUGUGACACGGAAAGACUCAGCCCUUUAUCGCUGUGAGGUCGUUGCUCGAAAUGACCGCAAGGAAAUUGAUGAGAUUGUGAUCGAGUUAACUGUGCAAGUGAAGCCAGUGACCCCCGUCUGUAGAGUGCCAAAGGCUGUACCAGUAGGCAAGAUGGCAACGCUGCACUGCCAGGAGAGUGAGGGCCACCCCCGGCCUCACUACAGCUGGUAUCGCAAUGAUGUGCCGCUGCCCACGGAUUCCAGAGCCAAUCCCAGAUUUCGCAAUUCUUCUUUCCACUUAAACUCUGAAACAGGCACUCUGGUAAGAUCUCUUCUAAGAGGUGAGGAUGGAGAUGUCUUUGUUGGGGCAAGAGAUGCUUAUUGUGAAAAGAAGAAUUAUUAGGAGAGAUACUGAAACUUCUUGAUAAGACAGGAGUCAAAAAUCUAGAAUGUUAGGGAUUCUACAGGAAAAAUGACCCUUCAUCCUUUUAUAAACAAGUACAUUCUUGGGGGUAAAAUAAGGAAGAGAAAGAAACCAUAGAUUGAGACUGAAGAGGGAUAUUAAGCAAAUGUUACUAGGGCCCUGAUCGGAUAAUCAACUGUAAAAGUCAUUAGACAAUUGGGGAAAUUCGAUUACUAGCUGGCAUUUGAUGAUCUAUUAAGCAACUGUUAAUUGCUUUAGGCAUGAUGAAGGUAUUGUGGUUACGAUUUUUUACAGUCUUGUAGAGAUACUGAAGUAUUUGUGGAUAAAAGGUGUUUGGA
rnacentral:sRNA from 1 species